rnacentral:rRNA from 1 species
UACGUAGGGAGCGAGCGUUGUCCGGAUUCAUUGGGCGUAAAGCGCUUUAAGGCGGUUCGCUAAGUCGCGUGUGAAACCUCCAGGCUCAACCUGGAGACGCCACGCGAUACUGGCGUGACUAGAGUUCGGUAGGGGAUCACGGAAUUCCAGGUGUAGCGGUGAAAUGCGUAGAUAUCUGGAGGAACACCGGUGGCGAAGGCGGCGUCCUGGACCAACACUGACACUGAUGAGCGAAAGCCAGGGGAGCAAACGGG